rnacentral:rRNA from 1 species
CACGAACGCUGGCGGCAGGCUUAACACAUGCAAGUCGAACGCAUCCUUCGGGGUGAGUGGCAGACGGGUGAGUAACGCGUGGGAACGUGCCCUUCAGUUCGGGAUAACCCAGGGAAACUUGGGAUAAUACCGGAUACGUGCGAGAGCAGAAAGAUUUAUCGUUGAAGGAUGGGAUCGCGUCUGAUUAGCUAGUUGGUGGGGUUAUGGCCCACCAAGGCGACGAUCAGUAGCUGGUCUGAGAGGAUGAUCAGCCACAUUGAGACUGAGACACGGCCCAAACUCCUACGGGAGGCAGCAGUGGGGAAUAUUGGACAAUGGGCGCAAGCCUGCUCCAGCCAUGCCGCGUGAGUGAUGAAGGCCUUAGGGUUGUAAAGCUCUUUCGUCCGGGACGAUAAUGACGGUACCGGAAGAAGAAGCCCCGGCUAACUUCGUGCCAGCAGCCGCCGCAGUAA